AACAGGGUAGUACUGGUUUGGUGCAAAGGUAAUUGCACUUCUUGCCAUAAAAGUAAUGGCAAAAACCACAACUACUUUUGCACCAACCUACAGAAA
rnacentral:miRNA from 1 species